GUCCACGCCCUAAACGAUGUCAACUAGGUGUUGGGGAGGAGACUUCCUUAGUACCGCAGCUAACGCGUGAAGUUGACCGCCUGGGGAGUACGGCCGCAAGGUUGAAACUCAAAGGAAUUGACGGGGACCCCGCACAAGCGGUGGAUUAUGUGGAUUAAUUCGAUGCAACGCGAAAACCUUACCUACCCUUGACAUGGUCGGAAUCCAGAAGAGAUUUUGGAGUGCCCGAAAGGGAACCGAUACACAGGUGCUGCAUGGCUGUCGU
rnacentral:rRNA from 1 species